GCGGUGUGAGCCGUUGAGCUAACCCAUACUAAUUGCCCGAGAGGCUUAACUAUACAACGCUGAAGGGUUUU
rnacentral:rRNA from 1 species